GAUGAACGCUGGCGGCGUGCCUAAUACAUGCAAGUCGAGCGAACGGACGAGAAGCUUGCUUCUCUGAUGUUAGCGGCGGACGGGUGAGUAACACGUGGAUAACCUACCUAUAAGACUGGGAUAACUUCGGGAAACCGGAGCUAAUACCGGAUAAUAUUUUGAACCGCAUGGUUCAAAAGUGAAAGACGGUCUUGCUGUCACUUAUAGAUGGAUCCGCGCUGCAUUAGCUAGUUGGUAAGGUAACGGCUUACCAAGGCAACGAUGCAUAGCCGACCUGAGAGGGUGAUCGGCCACACUGGAACUGAGACACGGUCCAGACUCCUACGGGAGGCAGCAGUAGGGAAUCUGCCGCAAUGGGCGAGAGCCUGACGGAGCAACGCCGCGUGAGUGAUGAAGGUCUUCGGAUCGUAAAACUCUGUUAUUAGGGAAGAACAUAUGUGUAAGUAACUGUGCACAUCUUGACGGUACCUAAUCAGAAAGCCACGGCUAACUACGU
rnacentral:rRNA from 1 species